UGCUGUUCUUACUAAAUCUUAAGAGUUGGCAAUUCAAUUUUAACCUACGAAGAAAGGCAUUUAUGGAUCAUUGGAUUACUCUCCAUUAUCGCACACACACAAGAAGAUUCGGUGGAUCAAUACAUUUUAGAGGAUAGCUAUAUUUCUGGCUAUUCAAAUAACGUUAAAGACUCGCCAGUGGGAUGGCGCCCAGUUAUUAUAAACAUAACCGACUGCUUGUACAAGUCUGCGUUAAGGUUUCUGCAAUGUUCCACUAAACCAAACAACACACAUGGCAUUGCACUACUAGACCCUUUGGACUUUAAUUUGGACCAACUGGCUGAAAGGAAAACCAUCAGACUUAACGGGGUUAUCAACGGUACAAUUUGGGAACUAUCUAAGCUGGAUAUAAACUAUGUCAUCGUCACUGUGCCUUCUUUCUACGCUAAGAUAAUUGGAAACAUUCCAAGACUUACAGUUUCGGGAAUUCACGAUGUCACUGGUGUUUUGGCUGGAGUUCUUCCAGUUUACGGUUCUGGUCC